AACGAACGCUGGCGGCAUGCCUAACACAUGCAAGUCGAACGAGACCUUCGGGUCUAGUGGCGCACGGGUGCGUAACGCGUGGGAACCUGCCCUUAGGUUCGGAAUAACUCCCCGAAAGGGGUGCUAAUACCGGAUAAUGUCUUCGGACCAAAGAUUUAUCGCCCUUGGAUGGGCCCGCGUUGGAUUAGCUAGUUGGUAGGGUAAAAGCCUACCAAGGCGACGAUCCAUAGCUGGUCUGAGAGGAUGAUCAGCCACACUGGGACUGAGACACGGCCCAGACUCCUACGCGAAGCAGCAGUGGGGAAUAUUGGACAAUGGGCGAAAGCCUGAUCCAGCAAUGCCGCGUGAGUGAUGAAGGCCUUAGGGUUGUAAAGCUCUUUUACCCGGGAUGAUAAUGACAGUACCGGGAGAAUAAGCUCCGGCUAACUCCGUG
rnacentral:rRNA from 1 species